UACGUAGGGUGCGAGCGUUGUCCGGAAUUAUUGGGCGUAAAGAGCUCGUAGGCGGUCUGUCGCGUCUGCUGUGAAAACUCAGGGCUUAACCCUGAGCUUGCAGUGGGUACGGGCAGACUAGAGUGCGGUAGGGGAGACUGGAAUUCCUGGUGUAGCGGUGAAAUGCGCAGAUAUCAGGAGGAACACCGGUGGCGAAGGCGGAUCUCUGGGCCUUGCCUGACGCUGAGGCGCGAAAGCUAGGGGGAGCGAACAGG
rnacentral:rRNA from 1 species